AGUUCGGUGGCGUAGCUGGUUAGAGCACGCGAUGGUAAUUGUGACUAGAAAUCUUAUAUCGUGGCUGCGGGUUCGAAUCCCGCCACCGGCACUG